rnacentral:rRNA from 1 species
CAGUAGCCGCGGGAAUACGUAGGUGGCAAGCGUUGUCCGGAAUUAUUGGGCGUAAAGGGCUCGCAGGCGGUUUCUUAAGUCUGAUGUGAAAGCCCCUGGCUCAACCGGGGAGGGUCAUUGGAAACUGGGAAACUUGAGUGCAGAAGAGGAGAGUGGAAUUCCACGUGUAGCGGUGAAAUGCGUAGAGAUGUGGAGGAACACCAGUGGCGAAGGCGACUCUCUGGUCUGUAACUGACGCUGAGGAGCGAAAGCGUGGGGAGCGAACAGGAUUAGAUACCCCCGUAGUCCCUGUCUCUUAUAC